ACACAGCAAACCAUUGGCACCUGUAAUUUGACAACUAUUCAGGCCAUUGUAAAAAUGCAGCAUAAAACCGCUUUGACUAUCUUGACUCAUGGGAGCUAUAAUUUUACGUGGUCUUUCUAUAGUUUUUUUGGCACAAUCCGUGCUGCCGCCUAACUAAACCGCCUGAAUUCCAACGCAGUGGUGUCAAACUUCAUCCAUUCUGCAGUGUAGAUGCACCCACUGUUUAAAGCGGUGCUGUCGCUUUAAGAGGAGACUAUGACAUCACCCGAGUACGAACUCCCAAGGAGGACCCUGGUUGGGCCGCAAGCCCCGCCCCGUGAUCGCCAGGCUCAGCAACGCGUGACAUCAUAAGGACUAGAGAAGCUGCCAUUGGCGGAAAGGACUAAGCUAGCCACGCCUUCCGAGUCAGGCCUGGACCAAUCAGAAGAGAAGUGUUUGUCUCCAUGUGGAAACCAUGUGGUUCUCCGAAGGGGGCGGAGCCUAAGUUGAUUAUACUGUAGCUGGCUGCCUCCAGCAGGAUCUGCACGUUCUGGAGGAAAGUGUUGAUCCGCUCCAUGGAGUCCUUCUCCUCCUCCUCGGUGCUGGUGUGGUUGAAGAUGUCACUCAAGGGCCACCUGGGCAGCGCCUCCGACUCCGAAGCCAGACCCGGAGCCUGGGGCAAAGGAGGAGGAGGAGGAGGGUGCCCCGCAACAACAACAACAGCAGCAGCAGCCGCAGCAGCCCCUUCGCCCCGCAGCUCCUUCCUCGGCCUGCCACGUUUCCCCAUCGCCCCUGCGGUUGGAAACUUUGGGGUUUCUUAAAGCCCUUUUGGCCGA